rnacentral:lncRNA from 1 species
AGCUGCCAACGGAGACAUUGUUGCUGCCAUUAUGGAGCUCACUAAUUAAUGGUAGUACUUUAGAUUUUGGAAUUUGGAGCUGUUUUUCUUUGCUGGUCAAUUUUUUUUGCUCUUGUUCGGUUUGAAAUAGUGGUUUGCCAAUCUUUACCUUUGAUUUGUUCUAUUUUCUGUGUAAUUGCACUUGCGAAAUGAGAAAAAAACUAGACUUUUGCUCUAAAGUUCAUGUUUAAUGCCAAUCAAUGCCAAGAAUGACAGUCAUAGUUGUCAAUCAACUAUUUAUAUUGGUUAUUAAUAGCACCCUAUGUUGGUUUAAUUAAGAAAUGGGUAAAGGUAAAACCGGUUUCCAUGUUAUGGUUAUCGAGUGGGCAUAUCCAUGGCCCAAAAAGUUCGAGUAGCUUGUAAAUCGAUGAGUUCACCCAAAAUGUUUUUUUUUAUGCAAGUUUUACACAAUGUUAUUCUUUACAUCUUUGGUUAUUUAGAUAUAUAUGUGUACUACACGGCUGAAGCGGAUAAUUAUGAUAGGUUCAAAAAUUAACUAUCACUGUUUGUGAACGUAUUUGAAUUAUCCAUCUCAGCAUGUACUCUUACAUAUCCAAAUAAAUAUGACGUGUACCCAAUAAAUCAUCUUAUAAAAAUGGAUGAUUGUCCACUGAUCUUGUCUAUAUUACAUGAAUAUGUACUUGCCUGAGUUAUAUUACAUGAACAAAAAAUCAUGAAGAUAUGUACUUGCCUGUAUAUUACAUGAUCAUUAACAUAAAUGUACUUGCCUGUCAUUAUGUAAUUUCAAACUGAAGUACUCUUGAACUCAUCUAAAAUCUAAAUACUCCUAUAUGAAACAAUAAUAAAAAAUGUUAGUUUCAAAGAAAAAAUAGUACUAAUGCUUAAGGAAGAAAAACAUGAUUAAACAUGUAAGAUAUUAGUUAGAAAAUCUACUAUAUAAGAAAAGAAGGUACAUAUGAAAUUUCUAAUUUGCCCUUUUUUCAUUUUUUGACACAUAAUCAAUUUAGGGUUAUUUUGUGUCUUUAUUAAAAAAAGUUAGUAGAAAAAUGCUAAAAAAUUUCUUAGUAGGAAUCGAACCCUUAACCUUUUAGUUACACUUCUUAUUAGAUUUACCACUAAGCUAUAUGAAUUAAUUUGUUAUAUUUUUUGAACCAACAUAUAAUCAACAUGAGUUAAGUUAAAAUCUACUAUAUAAGAAAAGAAGGUACAUAUGAAAUUCCUAAUUUGCCCCUUUUUCAUUUUUUGACACAUAAUCAAUUUAGGGUUAUUUUGUGUCUUUAUUAAAAAAAGUUAGUAGAAAAAUGCUAAAAAAUUUCUUAGUAGGAAUCGAACCCUUAACCUUUUAGUUACACUUCUUAUUAGAUUUACCACUAAGCCAUAUGAAUUAAUUUGUUAUAUUUUUUGAACCAACAUAUAAUCAACAUGAGUUAAGUUAAAAUCUCUAUAUAAGAAAAGAAGGUACAUAUGAAAUUCCUAAUUUGCCCCUUUUUCAUUUUUUGACACAUAAUCAAUUCAGGGUUAUUUUGUGUCUUUAUUAAAAAAAGUUAGUAGAAAAAUGCUAAAAAAUUUCUUAGUAGGAAUCGAACCCUUAAUUUUUUAGUUACACUUCUUAUUAGAUUUACCACUAAGCGAUAUGAAUUAAUUUGUUAUAUUUUUGGAACCAACAUAUAAUCAACAUGAGUUAAGUUAAAAGAAGAAAGGGGAAGUGUUUAUUUAUUUUUUCUUUUUUAUAAUAAGAGAGUAAAAUUCAUGUACAAAUAAANNGAUUCAAUGAAAUUCUUUAUUUCAACGUCAUAAGUGCAUUAUACCAAAUAAGACAACAAAUGUAUGGUUUUUUUUUACAAUAUAGAGGUACAUGAUGUUGUUUCCAUUUAUUUAUGAUAUUUUAUUUGAGUCCAACCAUUUCUUUAGUGUAAUUUUAUCAUUUAUUGUUUAUGUUUCGUUAAUUUAGAUUCACUCAACUUGAUUUAUGGACUUCAAUUCAAUAUUUAAUUAAGUUAAUUUUCAAUUUGUAGUUCAACUCAAUAAAUUUAAUUAAUUUAAUACAAGAAUAUGGUGGGAGAUUCAAUGAAAUUGCGCGUGAAUGAUACAUUUAGUUUAAAAAAACAGUAAAAAUUAAAUACAAAGUUGAAAAUAUCUACUAUAUAAGAUGACCUAAUUAUUUUGAUGAGUGUUGCGAGACCUAUCCUAUAUUUUCACUAACAUUUUAAUAUGAUUGCCUAUUUUUUAAUAAUUUUUACGGGACUAUAUUUAUUCUCAUAUAUUAAUACAUGGACAUAAGUUUUUUUUGUGAUUUUUCAACACCUAUGUUUUUACUAAUAUAUUAAUAAGGUAGCCUAUUUUUUUUCUUCAUAAUUUCUACAUUAUCUAUAUUUAUAUUCCUAAAUUAAUACGGAGACCUAAAGUUUUUUUGUGAUGGUUUUACCAUUGUUCUUUUUCUAUUUUUUUUUAACCAAAUAUUAUAUCCUUUCAUCUUACCAAAUAAGGAGCGGCAACGCCGCGACUCCCGUGCGAACGCACGGGUGUCCUGCUAGUUAAAAUGAAAGUAAAGCGUGCCAUAAGGUAAAGUGUGCAAGGUAGGUAGAGUGUAAAUAAGUUAGAUAUCAACUUUUACUCUUUCUCCAAAAUCACCUUCGCAAUACAGCAGUGUCCUUGCAUUAAUCCGAUUAUAUCAGAGACAUGGAAACAAUUGGUUCGGAAUAAUUUUGGCGCUUUCUGAGAAAUAUGUUUAAUUUGCUGCAAAGUGUCUACUCUUUGUUUUAUUUGCAAUGUCUCUAUCAAUCAAUUGAGUUAUGUUCACGAGGACCUCACAAAUAGUUAUUAUGCAAGAUUAAUAUUAAAUAUGUUUUUAGUUCUCAAAAUAUUCUAAAUUUUUGUAGUCCGUCCAAAUUUUCAUUUUUCAAUUUUAGUUCUCUUUUUAUACAAAAAUAGUAUGUUUCAAAUUACUAUUAUAAAAAAAAUUACUAUUAUAAAAUUAUUUCAUCUUUAUUAAAAUUAGUAUGCAAAAUAGCAUGUUUCAAAAAUAGUAUGCAAAAUUAGUUCUCUUUAUUAAAAUGUUAAAAUAUUGUUAGUUUAAUUAUUUCAUCUUUAGCUUAACAAGUUAAUCUUUAUUAUAAAAUUAUAGAUAAAUUAACAACAAAUAUAUUAAAUAGUUAAUUUAUUAAAUUAAUAGUAUUUUAAUUCCCUCAUAUCAAAAAAUAAAAUAAAAUAAUAGUCUUUAAAAAAAAGGAAAAAGCUAAAUGAUGCGAAUGUGUGUUUCGCGAAUUCAAUGAAUGAGUUAUCGCCAUAUGUUCAUGGUUUGGUUGUUUGCGAUAUACUCUAAUUUUUAUUUAUUUAUUUUUAAAAUGCCACUGGGCAAUGGAGGACUAAAAUUAGAAGGAAUUUUUAGAAAGACUAAAAAUAAAAUUUGAUACAUGUAAAGGGAAAAAAAAUACAUUUAACAUUUUUUUAUACAAUUUGAAGAAUUUUUUUUAAAAAGUUAAAUACAAAGUUCAAUAUAUUAUACAUAAAUUCAUGACCAAAAAUACAUUUAACUUUUGUACAUAAGUGAGAAAUUACAUUAUGGUCAAAAAAAUAAGUUAUAAAUUACAUGGACUAGAGAACCUAAAAAUAAAAAAACAUGGACUCUUCUUAUUAAAAAAUAAAAAAGAAAUUACAUUGACACAUUUUAAAUUUCGGAAUAAAUAAAUAAAUAAUUUCUCAGGCGCUCAGCACAAAAUUACAUGUUCGAUUACAAAUUACUAGUAAUUAAUUAAUUAAUUAAUUGAUUCUGAACAUCAUGAUCCACUACCUAAACGACGCCGUUUUAUUCUUCUUCUCCAUCUUCUGUUGAUUUCCGAGUAAACAGUCACUUUCGUCCCUAAAAGUGUCACUCGCUAUCAUAACAGUCCCUGAAACAACAAAAAACAUUUAAAAGUCCCUGAAUCAAACUUCUGUUAGUCAGAAUGAUCCCUAACGUUAUCUUUCUGUUUGUUUUUAUGAUUUGUCCCCAAAUUUUGACACAUUGGACCAAUAUGUGGCAAAUUUCAGUGACACAUAUACAAGGAUUAAAAUGACAAUAAAAAUCAAAAUUUCCUAAAUAAAAUCAAAUACAAUAAAAAUGAACAAAAACAAAUCUUCAUCUUCUUUCUCCUCUCUUCCUCACAAACCUCCAUCAAGCAUCAAUAUGUCAAACCCAUCUUCCAUUUUUUUCAAAAAUAUUUUGGAUAAAAUAAUAGAAAUUCAUACCAAAAUUGAAAAAAGAACAUUCAUUUAAAUACGAGAAACAUUAAUCUACUAACUUAUAAAGUAAAUUGACACAAAUAAAUACCCAAAAAUUAUCACAAUAACAACAAGUUUAAAGUAAACAAAUAAGAGAGAGUGAGGAUGGAAAUUGACCCAUGGGGGUUGUGAACAAAUAGGUCGAUAAUUGGUAAAAGUUGGCAAAGCAAAGCAUUACAAAAGUUCCACAACAAUAUCUUCCAGUAAAUGAAGACCUUGCUUUUGUAUCAUCAACAACCUCUUUACCAAUUAUCAACCUUGGUAAAUUGUUUGGUAAGAGUUUUCUUCCAUGUUUUAGUCAAUCAUUUUUCCUCUCUAAUUAUCACAAUAACAAGUUUAAAGUAAACAAAUAAAUCUCAGAUCUGGUUUUUUUGAACUUUUUGCUCUCUUUAUCUCUUGAACGUNNNNNNNNNNNNNNNNNNNNNNNNNNNNNNNNNNNNNNNNNNNNNNNNNNNNNNNNNNNNNNNNNNNNNNNNNNNNNNNNNNNNNNNNNNNNNNNNNNNNNNNNNNNNNNNNNNNNNNNNNNNNUUUUUUAUGCUCACUUUCAAUUUGAUCCUUGCUUAGGUGGCUGUAAAAUUAGAAUAAAAAAUUGCCACAUAUUGGUCCAACAUGUCAAAUUUUGGUACACAUCAUAUAAAAUAAACAGAAAGAUAACGUCAGGGACCUUUUUGACCAACAGAUAUUAAAUUCAGGGACUUAAAAUAUUUUUUGAUGAUUCAGGGAUUUUUAUGACAGCGGGUGACACUUUCGAGGACUAAAAUGACAGUUUACUCGUUGAUUUCCAUUCGCACAACUCAUAACAAUGAAUGAAAAACUAUCAUUUUCUAUCCCUUGAUCAAAAUCUUCAUCCAAAUCCAACAAUUUCGUUAAACCCUCUCAAACAUUCGAUCAAGAUUCUUCAUCCAAAAACAAUUAAUCACCGAAUUCGAUCCAUCAAAACCCCAAACCCUAAGCCCAAAUGGUAAGGAGGGGAUGGAAAGAAGGUUGUUGAGGUUAAGAGGAGAGGUUUGGGUUUUGUUGCUGAUAUGCAUAUGCUUCCUCCCACCUCAAAAGAAAGGUGAAAGGAAUGGGAAGUUGGAGAGUGAGAAGAGAAAGAAUGAGGAAAGAGUUGUUAGGAAGGAUUGUUAGAGGUAGAGAGAGAUGUUGGAUUGAAGGCUAGUGAGUUUUGUAGGUAGAAAGUUGAAGGAUUUGAAGAUUUGUGGGUGGGAGGGAUGAGGAAAAAGAGUCUAUGGAUGAAAAGAGUAGGGAGAUUAUUCAAGGGGUGUCUCAAGAUAUGCUUGAGACCGCUAUUCCACGAUGAGGAUGUAGACGAGACUGACUGGUGUAGAGAUCCCAAGGAUAUUGAGUUGGUGGUGACUCAAGCUGGUGUGCCACGAUCAAGAGCUGGUAAAGCUCUCAAACCUGCCAAUGGAGACAUUGUUCCUGCCAUCAUGAAGGUAAAACCGGACUUUUGCCAAUCUUUACCUUUGCUUUGUUCUAUUUUCUGUGUAAUUGCACUUGCGAAGUGAGAAAAAAAACUAAGACUUUUGCUCUAAAGUUCAUGUUUAAUGCCAAUCAACAAGAAUGACAGUCAUAAUUGUCAAUCAACUAUUUA